rnacentral:rRNA from 1 species
UACGUAGGGACCGAGCGUUGUCCGGAUUCAUUGGGCGUAAAGAGCUCGUAGGCGGCUGUUCAAGUCGAACGUGAAAACUCGGAGCUCAACUCCGAGCCUGCGUUCGAUACUGGACGGCUAGAGUCUGGUAGGGGGAUCUGGAAUUCCUGGUGUAGCGGUGGAAUGCGUAGAGAUGUGGAGGAACACCAGUGGCGAAGGCGACUUUCUGGUCUGCAACUGACACUGAGGCGCGAAAGCGUGGGGAGCGAACAGG